GACGAACGCUGGCGGCGUGCUUAACACAUGCAAGUCGAACGGAAAGGCCCUGCUUUUGUGGGGUGCUCGAGUGGCGAACGGGUGAGUAACACGUGAGUAACCUGCCCUUGACUUUGGGAUAACUUCAGGAAACUGGGGUAAUAACGGCUAGGAACUCCUGCUGCCUGGUGGGGGUUGGAAAGUUUCGGCGGUUGGGGAUGGACUCGCGGCUUAUCAGCUUGUUGGUGGGGUAGUGGCUUACCAAGGCUUUGACGGGUAGCCGGCCUGAGAGGGUGACCGGCCACAUUGGGACUGAGAUACGGCCCAGACUCCUACGGGAGGCAGCAGUGGGGAAUAUUGCACAUUGGGCGGAAGCCUGAUGCAGCAACGCCGCGUGCGGGAUGACGGCCUUCGGGUUGUAAACCGCUUUCGCCUGUGACGAAGCGUGAGUGACGGUAAUGGGUAAAGAAGCACCGGCUAACUACGUG
rnacentral:rRNA from 1 species